rnacentral:rRNA from 1 species
CGUGGAUGACCUUCCCAGAAAUGAGGGACAACCUGCCGAAAGGCGGGCUAAUACCGCAUAAGACCACGACGCUCUGGCGACGGGGUAAAAGUGGGCCUCUGUUUACAAGCUCAUGUUUCUGGAUGGGUCCGCGGUCCAUCAGCUAGUUGGUGAGGUAAAGGCUUACCAAGGCUACGACGGAUAGCUGGUCUGAGAGGAUGAUCAGCCACACUGGAACUGAGACACGGUCCAGACUCCUACGGGAGGCAGCAGUGGGGAAUCUUGCGCAAUGGGCGAAAGCCUGACGCAGCGACGCCGCGUGGGUGACGAAGGCCUUCGGGUUGUAAAGCCCUGUGGAACGGAACGAAAUGGGCUCGGGUGAACAUCCCGGGUUCUUGACGGUACCGUGCUAGCAAGCACCGGCUAACUCUGUGCCAGCAGCCGCGGUAAGACAGAGGGUGCAAACGUUGCUCGGAUUUACUGGGCGUAAAGCGCAUGCAGGCGGUCUGAUAAGUCGGGUGUGAAAGCCCGGGGCUCAACCCCGGAAGUGCACUCGAUACUGCCAGACUCUGGGUACUGAAGAGGAGAGCGGAAUUCCCGGUGUAGAGGUGAAAUUCGUAGAUAUCGGGAGGAACACCAGUGGCGAAGGCGGCUCUCUGGGCAGAUACCGACGCUGAGAUGCGAAAGCGUGAGGAGCAAACA